GACGAACGCUGGCGGCGUGCUUAACACAUGCAAGUCGAACGGAAAGGCCCUGCUUUUGUGGGGUGCUCGAGUGGCGAACGGGUGAGUAACACGUGAGUAACCUGCCCUUGACUUUGGGAUAACUUCAGGAAACUGGGGCUAAUACCGGAUAGGGGCUCCUGCUGCAUGGUGGGGGUUGGAAAGUUUCGGCGGUUGGGGAUGGACUCGCGGCUUAUCAGCUUGUUGGUGGGGUAGUGGCUUACCAAGGCUUUGACGGGUAGCCGGCCUGAGAGGGUGACCGGCCACAUUGGGACUGAGAUACGGCCCAGACUCCUACGGGAGGCAGCAGUGGGGAAUAUUGCACAAUGGGCGGAAGCCUGAUGCAGCAACGCCGCGUGCGGGAUGACGGCCUUCGGGUUGUAAACCGCUUUCGCCUGUGACGAAGCGUGAGUGACGGUAAUGGGGAAAGAAGCACCGGCUAACUACGU
rnacentral:rRNA from 1 species